rnacentral:RNase_P_RNA from 1 species
GAAGCAGGCCAGACCGCCGCUGGUGCGAGCGGGGAAACCCGGCACUGGAGGAAGGUCCGGACUGCACAGAGCACCGUAGCAGCUAACGGCUGUCCACCGCGAGGUGAGGAUCAGAGCAACAGAGACGAGUCAGGGUUGGCCCCGCAAGGGUGUCCUGCCCUGGGUGAAACGGGCAAUCUCUACGGGCAGCAACACCAAAUAGGCCGGCAUCGAUGUGGCUCGCGGAGCCGGCGGGUAGGUGGCACCGAGCCGGGAGGCGACUCCCGGCCCAGAUGAAUGGCGGUCACGGCGCGGCUUCGCAAGGAGCCGUGCUGCACAGAAUCCGGCCUAUCGGCCUGCUUCACAC